GUCAUUUAGCAUACCACCCUGAACGCCGCCGAUCUUGUCUGAUCUCGGAAGCUAAGCAGGGUCGGGCCUGGUUAGUACUUGGAUGGGAGAACAGACACUUUUCAAGAGAAGACU
rnacentral:rRNA from 1 species